rnacentral:lncRNA from 1 species
AGAAGGCCAUGGAGAGGGAGAGAUAACAGGCGUCUCCAACGCAGGAGUUGCAGGCGACAACAAUGGCGCGUUGAUGCCAAGCUUUCCUGCUCUCAUCAGGUAAGAACUUGUGUUGUAAGGAGCACAGGGGACCCGGUUCAUGAUCGUUCUCUUGUUCUUACGCCGGGUUUUGUGUCGCCGGGACAGGAGCGGACGCUUGGCGUAGGGGCGAGGGUAAAACCGUGUAGGAUUCUGCCGCUCUGGCGCAGAGCACAUCCAUGGACUCUUCUUGCCGUCCAGUGGGGAC